rnacentral:rRNA from 1 species
CCUACGGGAGACAGCAGUGGGGAAUAUUGGGCAAUGGGCGCAAGCCUGACCCAGCGACGCCGCGUGAAGGAAGAAGGCUUUCGGGUUGUAAACUUCUUUUCGCAGGGACGAAACAAGUGACGGUACCUGAGGAAGAAGCCACGGCUAACUACGUGCCAGCAGCCGCGGUAAUACGUAGGGGGCAAGCGUUAUCCGGAUUUACUGGGUGUAAAGGGCGUGUAGGCGGGACUGCAAGUCAGGUGUGAAAACCACGGGCUCAACCUGUGGACUGCAUUUGAAACUGUAGGUCUUGAGUACUGGAGAGGCAGACGGAAUUCCUAGUGUAGCGGUGAAAUGCGUAGAUAUUAGGAGGAACACCAGUGGCGAAGGCGGUUUGCUGGACAGCAACUGACGCUGAGGCGCGAAAGCGUGGGGAGCAAACAGGAUUAGAUACCCGUGUAGUC